rnacentral:tRNA from 1 species
GAGGGUACAGCUCAGGGGCAGAGCGCGUGCUUAGCACGCGUGAGGUCCUGGGUUCAAUCCCCAGUGCCUCCA